UACGGAGGAUUCAAGCGUUAUCCGGAUUUAUUGGGUUUAAAGGGUGCGCAGGCGGAUUUUUAAGUCAGCGGUCAAAUCGUGGGGCUCAACCCCAUCCAGCCGUUGAAACUGGGGAUCUAGAGUGUGCGAGAGGUAUGCGGAAUGCGUGGUGUAGCGGUGAAAUGCUUAGAUAUCGCGCAGAACCCCGAUUGCGAAGGCAGCGUACCGGCUCCACACUGACGCUGAGGCACGAAAGCGUGGGUAUCGAACAGG
rnacentral:rRNA from 1 species